UACUCUUUCAAUCUCAAUAAAUACGCUCAGCCUCUCAUUUCUCCCUCACAACCCAUUUCUUCAAGCUUUCUUCCUCUUUCCCGCAAGAUUUCUUACAACACAGCGGGAUUUUCAGUCUAGAUCUGCAGAGUAACAUAGCAACAAUGGCGUCCGAGAAGAGGGUAGAUCUGGAUGGCAACCCCAUUAAGCCAAUCACCAUUUGCAUGAUUGGCGCUGGUGGCUUCAUUGGCUCUCACCUCUGUGAGAAGCUUAUGGCUGAAACCCCUCACAAGGUGCUUGCUCUUGAUGUUUAUAAUGACAAGAUUAAGCAUCUUCUUGAGCCCGAUUCGCUCCCCUGGGCCGAUCGUAUUCAGUUCCACCGUCUCAAUAUCAAGAACGAUUCCAGGCUCGAGAGCCUCAUUCGAAUGGCGGAUCUGACGAUAAAUCUUGCUGCGAUCUGUACGCCUGCGGACUACAAUACGCGACCCCUUGACACAAUCUACAGCAAUUUCAUUGACGCAAUUCCUGUGGUUAAAUACUGUUCUGGCAACAACAAGCGUCUCAUUCACUUUUCAACUUGCGAAGUGUACGGUAAGACGAUUGGAAGCUUUCUUCCAAAAGAUAGCCCUCUUCGUCAGGAUCCAGCAUAUUAUGUUUUGAGUGAGAAUUCAUCUCCUUGCAUCUUUGGUCCCAUUGAGAAGCAAAGAUGGUCCUAUGCGUGUGCGAAGCAAUUGAUCGAGAGGCUGAUUUAUGCUGAGGGUGCGGAAAAUGGGAUGGAUUUUACAAUUGUAAGACCCUUUAACUGGAUUGGUCCUAGGAUGGACUUCAUUCCUGGCAUUGAUGGCCCAAGUGAGGGUGUUCCGAGAGUUUUAGCUUGCUUUAGCAAUAAUCUCCUACGCCACGAGCCACUGAAGCUCGUGGAUGGUGGCCAAUCCCAAAGAACUUUUAUAUACAUCAAAGAUGCGAUUGAAGCAGUUCUUUUGAUGAUUGAAAACCCAGCUAGGGCCAAUGGCCAAAUCUUCAAUGUGGGCAAUCCCAACAAUGAAGUAACAGUGAAGCAGCUUGCCGAAAUGAUGACCGAGGUUUAUGCAAAGGUAAGCGGGGAACCUUCUCUCGAGAAACCGACAAUCGAUAUAAGCUCUGAAGAAUUCUACGGCGUGGGUUAUGACGACAGUGACAAGAGAAUUCCUGAUAUGACCAUCAUCAAUAAGCAACUUGGUUGGAACCCAAAGACCUCACUGUGGGAUCUGCUGGAAUCAACUCUGACCUAUCAACAUCGAACAUAUGCUGAGGCGAUCAAGCAGGCGACAGCAAAACCAGCUGCAACCAGCUAGAGAAUGUGAUGCUCUUUUCUUUUUGGUCAUUUUUUUUGGUUUUGUUUUUGUUUUCAGGGCUCUUACAGGAGGAGUUUUAUUUGUAAUAUGUGGCUGUGUCCAAGCUUUUCCAAUUCUUUUUUUUUUUUUUCUUGAUUCUGAAAUGUGUUAGUUUGGUUAUGGAUAGGGAUAUGUGGAGGACUCGAUAUUAUAUGUAUAAUCAUCGAAUUUCAAGCUUGGACUACAAGUUGAGGGAGGAUAAUACAAAAUAAUCUACUACUUUUCUGUCUUUGC